rnacentral:rRNA from 1 species
AACGAACGCUGGCGGCAUGCCUAACACAUGCAAGUCGAACGAGAUCUUCGGGUCUAGUGGCGCACGGGUGCGUAACGCGUGGGAAUCUGCCCUUGGGUUCGGAAUAACUUCGGGAAACUGAAGCUAAUACCGGAUGAUGACGUAAGUCCAAAGAUUUAUCGCCCAAGGAUGAGCCCGCGUAGGAUUAGCUAGUUGGUGAGGUAAAGGCUCACCAAGGCGACGAUCCUUAGCUGGUCUGAGAGGAUGAUCAGCCACACUGGGACUGAGACACGGCCCAGACUCCUACGGGAGGCAGCAGUGGGGGAAUAUUGGACAAUGGGCGAAAGCCUGAUCCAGCAAUGCCGCGUGAGUGAUGAAGGCCUUAGGUUGUAAAGCNCUUUGCCCGGGAUGAUAAUGACAGUACCGGGAGAAUAAGCUCGGCUAACUCCGUGCCAGCAGCCGCGGUAAAGU